AGACCCUCACACUAUGACUAUACAGUGCAGAAAGGAUUGACAUUACAAUGAUGAUUAGACAUUGGACAAUGUUUUUGUUUUACGCCAACUUCGUUUGUGCAUUGACUAUGGACAUUGUUCAACCAGACCCUGGGAUUUGUACUGGGAUUGGAGUUUCAGACCUGUUGGGUGAUCAGAUUAAGCUUAUUUUUGUCAUCAUUCUAUCUUGCCUGACAACUGCUGUGAUUCUGAGUGUGGU